CAGUCGCCGCGGGAAUACAGAGGGUGCGAGCGUUAAUCGGAUUUACUGGGCGUAAAGCGUGCGUAGGCGGCUUCUUAAGUCGGAUGUGAAAUCCCUGAGCUUAACUUAGGAAUUGCAUUCGAUACUGGGAAGCUAGAGUAUGGGAGAGGAUGGUAGAAUUCCAGGUGUAGCGGUGAAAUGCGUAGAGAUCUGGAGGAAUACCGAUGGCGAAGGCAGCCAUCUGGCCUAAUACUGACACUGAGGUGCGAAAGCGUGGGGAGCAAACAGGAUUAGAUACCCGUGUAGUCCCUGUCUCUUAUAC
rnacentral:rRNA from 1 species